GAUGAAGAACGUAGUGAAAUGCGAUAAGUAGUGUGAAUUGCAGAAUUCAGUGAAUCAUCGAAUCUUUGAACGCACAUUGCGCCCUUUGGUAUUCCUUAGGGCAUGCCUGUUCGAGCGUCAUUUAAACCUUCGAGCUCAGCUUGGUGUUGGGUGACUGUCCGCUUCACCGCGGACUCGCCUCAAAAUUAUUGGCGGCCGGUACAUUGGCUUCGAGCGCAGCAGAAACGCGAACUCGGGCCCGUCGUAUUGGCUCCCAGAAGCUAUCUUCACAAUUUUGACCUCGGAUCAGGUAGGGAUACCCGCUGAACUUAAGCAUAUCAAUAAGCGGAGGA
rnacentral:misc_RNA from 1 species